UUAUCUCUUGAAGUCCAUAAUUCGGUCAUAGAUGGUAUCGAAUGGAGGUGGAAAGUUUAAUGUUUGUUAACAUAUGGUUGAAACCUUUAUUAGAAUAUGAAUGGAAUAACAUACUCAAACUUUGAUAAUCUCGAACAUGUUUUAAAAUUAGGCGAAACAUUUGAGAAACAACCAAAAGGCGCUUACCACACGGUGAGAUAUGACUUUAAACCAGCCUCCAUUGACACCGCCUGUGUGGGGGAGCUGGAGGUGGGACAGGGAGAACAAGUUACUAUCACACUGCCCAAUCUGGAGGGAUCCACUGCCCCUGUAACAGUCUUCAAAGGAUCCAAGAGGCCUUAUAUGAAGGAAUGUAUUCUCAUCGUAAACCACGAUACUGGAGAGUACCGUCUGGAGAAACUCAACAGCAACAUUGCCGUCAAGAAGACCAGGGCUGAAGGCAGCAGUAAGAUCCAGUCUCGUAUAGAGCAGCAGACCAGUCGUCUGAGCCAGCAGAUGAAGACUAGUGGUAAUGGUAGCAGCAGCAAGACUCCAGCAGGCUCCAAGAGCUCUCCUCCCAAAGAGAAUAUGUCCCCUGCCUCCCCCAUGGAUGACAUUGAGAGAGAGCUAAUGGCAGAGGCGCGGGUCAUGGACCAGAUGAGUAGUGGGGACUCGUCCUCAGACUCCCACAGCUCCUCAUCCUCCAGUAGUGGGGACAGUUCCAGCGGUAGUGACUCUGAGGACGAGUCCCGGCACCCCCCUCCCCCUAGACCCCCUGGGGGUCCCCCCACAGGGCCACCACCCCACCAGGGCAUGCCUGUCCUCACCACUGUCACCACCACCUCCCCACCAUCACCAACUCGCAGUGGAGGACACCUAUUGAGCACACUAAAGAAUGACCUGCAAUUAAGUGAGUCUGGCAGUGAAAGUGACGAUGACUGACCAGUGAGUGACCACUAUAAUGCUGUGGGUGUGUUCAAGAGGGCAGUCUGUGGACAGCUGCACUGACCUCCAGAUGGAUGGGCAUCCUUUACAGUCACAACAGAAGUGGAAUAAGAAGAUGGAAUAUGGAUGUGCUCUUCUUAAUGCCAAACAAGACUGCACCCCUACACCUCCGGAAGCAACACCACUCCGCACCCCACCAGCAUUUCAGUUUUAAUGUGUCUUACUUCUAUCAAUAGUCUAACUUGUCUGUCUGUUAGUGCCUUUUUGACAGACAUGGGCCAAUAGUUGUGAUCAAUUCUCUUAUCUACACAUUUGAACUGGAUUAUUUUCACUGUACAUUUUAGUAUUUACUAGUUACUACUAGUUGGCCAGAGUGAACUGGGAACCAUACUCCUGAUUUGAACAGACAAGGUACUGCUGUUAUCAAGGAUAGCGUCAGUGUUUUAUUAGUUGUAUUACUUAGCCUUUCUGCUGUGAAAUAAUUACUCUUAAAAUAUAGGGAAUAGGUUGAAGCAGUCAUAUCAUUUAGUUUAUUAGGAAUUAUCUUCAAGUUACUUUUUUUGUUUAAUAUAUUUGGCCUAGCAACAUAUCAAGGUGGGGGGGUAUUUGAGGAAACUAUUGCACUACUUGAAAUGGAUUGAUUUAGCCUAGUGUGGGGUACACGCAACUUAAAGAUUUUGCUCAGUUUUGCUACUUAAUGUAUUUGAAAGAUUACUUGGCUUUAUAGCUUUAAACCUUCAAUAUUUGAAUCUGACUUAUGAUUAUUUAUAUUUAACAUAUUUACUCAAAGACCAGCAGCUUAUUAUAUUCUAUGGGCGUCAGAGCAAUGGGAGUGUAGGUAAACUCCUAGUGCCUGUUGUCAGUGAGUUUUCAGAGCUGUAAUUAGAACUGCUUUUCCGUUUACUACGAUCUCUUCUGUUGCUAUUGUUACAGGGGUGAGUCUCAAGUGCUUCGCUGAUUUGAUUCAUCGACUCGUUCUAAAAAAUGCAUUGGAGAAGAAGGCUUGGGUAUUAAGCUUGGAUCUUCUCCAUUGAAUUUUAAGAGGUGAUUCAUCAAGGAAUUCAUGAGACACGUGAGGAAUCCAGGAACGACUUCUGAGAAAGAGCCCAGGGAUCUGUUCUGUGCUGUUUGAGACCAGUAUGGGCUGUCUGAAUGAGGAGGUUCCUGAAGAGACCCAGAAGUUCAUCCAUCAUCGUUCUCUUCCCCAAGUCCACCGGGCCCUACCUCUCCUUCUGGAAACAUUUUGUGGCUGUCUGGGAUCACCUCUUCAAAGUUGGUGACAAAACCCUAGAUCACCUUUACUCCACGCCUAGAAACGUACACAAGACCCUCCCUUGCUCUCCCUUUGGCAAAUCAGACCAUAACUCUAUCCUCCUACUUACAAGCAAAAACUCAAAUAGGACGGGAUUUAUCCGGUAACAUUGAGGAAUUUACCACAUCAGUCACCGGCUUCAUUAAUAAGAUCCUCGACAACAUCAUCCCCACAGUGACCGUACGUACAUACCUCAACCAGAAGCCAUGGAUUACAGGCAACAUCUGCACUAAGCUAAAGACUAGAGCUGCCGCUUUCAAGGAGCAGGACACUAAUCUGGAUGCUUAAAAGGAAUCCCACUACCACCUCCAACAAGCCAUCAAACAGGAAAACCAUCAAUACAGGACUAAGAUCGAAUCCUACCAUGCCUGUAGCGGGGCUUGCAAACUAUCACGGAUUACAAAGGGAAACCAAGCCGCAAGCUGCCCAGCAACGCGAGCCUACCAGAAAUGCUACAUGCCUUCUAUGUUCGCUUCAUGGCAAGCAACACUGAACCCUGCAUAAGAACAUGAGCUGUUCCAGAUGACUGUGUGAUCUCGCUCUCUGUAGUCGAUGUGAGUAAG